GGCUUGAGGACCGUAUUCAUGGAAGAGGAUUGAACAGUAAAGAGCCCAGGAUUUGAUAAAAAUGAGAAUAUAUCGCCUCAAGCAGAAGCAGAUGAAUAUAUGGGAGAUGAAGUAGACAGUAUGUUGGAUAAAUCUGGAGUAAAGAACCCAGCAAUUGGUAAAGAUGAGAAUAUAUCGCCUCAAGUAAAAGGAGAUGAAGACAUGGGAGAUGAAAUUGACAGUAUGUUGGCUACAUCUGGAGGUCUUUUCUCCUGAGAACACGGGACUCCAGCAUCUUCGGAUUCUGCUCUUGGAGGUGUGAGUCCCUGCCUCUCUGCACAGGGGAACUUAUGUCUCUCCACAUGUCCGCAAAUGUCUACCCAAGAUUAUACAUCUUCCAAAGGCUUUCAAAUACUUCUUUACAUAAACAAGGGGUUUGCCCUACAUCCUCUAUAUUGCAGAAAACAAGACUAGGCUCUACCUCUGUAGAUCAAGCACGACUGAAAUCCGUGCUCUCAAAAGAUGCUGGGGAGAAAGAGUGCCAUUCUUCACAAAUGCUGAUGUGUGCAGCUGAACAGAGCGUUGAGGAAACGUCAGUGAUUUUAUAACUACUUAUCAUGUUGGGAGAUUGUUGUGAUGAUUGCCUGGACUCUCAGAUGUUACACAGGCUGCAUCAUUGGACUGAAAGUGAAUGGCCCAUGUGUUGCCACUGAUGUGAGCCAUUAAGC
rnacentral:precursor_RNA from 1 species